AAUCAAAUUUCCGUAGGUACUUAUAAACCGAUCAAGCCCCUCUGUUACCUUCUCUUUGAUAAGCUGAAGAGAUUGAGCUCCUUGGGUCUUUCAUGAUACGCACCUAAAGGAGAUCAGUGCCUGGAUGAAAAGCAGCCACCUGAAGCUAACCUCUGAGGAAAUGGAAGUGACAGUGGGAAAGUGAGUCUCGUUGAAAAUCUACCCAAAACCUGCUCAUCAGCCUCAGACAUUGUCCUUCUGGCCCACUUCCACCUGCUUGGAGAUAGGUGGUUAUCAUCAGGUGUAUCCUUUGAAUUGGUUGGAUCGCCAGGCUUUCCUGUGUCCACGGCUACGUCAAUGAGUUCCAUACUGCGCGCAAAUGCAUCUUUCAGGUUCAUGGAGACAAUGCUUCCAUUUCUUUUAGCUCGCUCAAGGGCCUCUCUUCUUUUAAUGGCCUUUUCCUGCCGUUUUUGCUCUUUGUAAAAC